GACGAACGCUGGCGGCGUGCUUAACACAUGCAAGUCGAACGGUGAAAGCGGAGCUUGCUCCGCUGGAUCAGUGGCGAACGGGUGAGUAACACGUGGGCAACCUGCCCCUGACUUCGGGAUAACUCCUCGAAAGAGGUGCUAAUACCGGAUACGAAUCCUGCAGGCAUCUGCGGGAUUGGAAAGUUUUUCGGUCAGGGAUGGGCCCGCGGCCUAUCAGCUUGUUGGUGAGGUAGUGGCUCACCAAGGCGACGACGGGUAGCCGGCCUGAGAGGGCGCCCGGCCACACUGGGACUGAGACACGGCCCAGACUCCUACGGGAGGCAGCAGUGGGGAAUAUUGCGCAAUGGGCGAAAGCCUGACGCAGCAACGCCGCGUGAGGGAUGACGGCCUUCGGGUUGUAAACCUCUUUCAGCAGGGAAGAAGCGUAAGUGACGGUACCUGCAGAAGAAGCACCGGCUAACUACGCGCCAGCAGCCGCAGUAA
rnacentral:rRNA from 1 species